CCUACGGGCGGCAGCAGUGGGGGAUAUUGCACAAUGGGCGCAAGCCUGAUGCAGCGACGCCGCGUGAGCGAAGAAGUACUUCGGUAUGUAAAGCUCUAUCAGCAGGGAAGAAAAUGACGGUACCUGACUAAGAAGCUCCGGCUAAAUACGUGCCAGCAGCCGCGGUCAUACGUAGGGAGCAAGCGUUAUCCGGAUUUACUGGGUGUAAAGGGAGCGGAGGCGGCCAUGUAAGUCAGAUGUGAAAAAGUGGGGCCCAACCCCAAGCCUGCGUUGGAAACUGCAGGGCUUGAGUGCAGUAGAGGCAGGCGGAAUGCCUGGUGUAGCGGUGAAAUGCGGAGAUAUUAGGAGGAACACCAGUGGCGAAGGCGGCCUGCUGGACGGUAACUGACGCUGAGGCCCGAAAGCGUGGGGAGCAAACAGGAUUAGAUACCCUUGUAGUC
rnacentral:rRNA from 1 species